CCCCUAGAUGUUCUGGGCCGCACGCGCGCUACACUGAACAGUUCAACAAGUCUUAACCUUGGCCGAUAGGUCUGGGUAAUCUUUGAACGCUGUUCGUGAUUGGGAUAGACCUUUGCAAUUAUGGGUCUUCAACGAGGAAUUCCUAGUAAACGCAAGUCAUCAGCUUGCAUUGAUUACGUCCCUGCCCUUUGUGCACACCGCCCGUCGCACCUACCGAUUGAAUGGUCCGGUGAAAUCUCGGGACGGCGGCUUGGUCGCUUGCGUCCGACUGCUGAAACUUGAUUAAACCAUAUCAUUUAGAGGAAGGUGAANUCGUAACA
rnacentral:rRNA from 1 species